UGGGGAAUCUUGCGCAAUGGGCGAAAGCCUGACGCAGCAACGCCGCGUGGAGGAUGAAGGUCCUUGGAUUGUAAACUCCUGUCGGCCGGGAAGAAGUUCAUCGGGGCUCAUACCCUCGGUGAUUGACUGUACCGGCAAAGGAAGCCCCGGCUAACUCUGUGCCAGCAGCCGCGGUAAUACAGAGGGGGCAAGCGUUAUUCGGAAUUAUUGGGCGUAAAGGGCGCGUAGGCGGCCUGUCAAGUCUCUCGUGAAAUCCCUCGGCUUAACUGAGGACGUGCGGGAGAUACUGUCAGGCUGGAAUCCGGAAGAGGGUGGUGGAAUUCCCAGUGUAGCGGUGAAAUGCGUAGAUAUUGGGAGGAACACCGGUGGCGAAGGCGGCCACCUGGGCCGGAACUGACGCUGAGGCGCGAAAGCGUGGGGAGCAAACGGGAUUAGAUACCCUGGUAGUCCACGCCAUAAACGAUGACAACUAGAUGUUGGGAGGGUCUGCCUCUCGGUGUCGCAGCUAACGCGUUAAGUUGUCCGCCUGGGGAGUACGGCCGCAAGGUUG
rnacentral:rRNA from 1 species